GAUGAAUGCUAGCGGCAGGCUUAACACAUGCAAGUCGAGGGGUAUAGUUCUUCGGAGCUAGAGACCGGCGCACGGGUGCGUAACGCGUAUGCAAUCUACCUUUUGCAGAGGGAUAGCCCAGAGAAAUUUGGAUUAAUACCUCAUGGUAUGUGAGAAUGGCAUCAUUUUCACAUUAAAGUCACAACGGCAAAAGAUGAGCAUGCGUCCCAUUAGCUAGUUGGUAAGGUAACGGCUUACCAAGGCAACGAUGGGUAGGGGUCCUGAGAGGGGGAUCCCCCACACUGGUACUGAGACACGGACCAGACUCCUACGGGAGGCAGCAGUGAGGAAUAUUGGACAAUGGGCGCAAGCCUGAUCCAGCCAUGCCGCGUGCAGGAUGACGGUCCUAUGGAUUGUAAACUGCUUUUGUACAGGAAGAAACACUGGUUCGUGAACCAGCUUGACGGUACUGUAAGAAUAAGGAUCGGCUAACUCCGUGCCAGCCGCCGCAGUAACAC
rnacentral:rRNA from 1 species